AUCUUAAUACUCUCAAAGCUACUGUCUCCAUGUACCACCUAUUGGUAUGAUUUCUGACUAACGAAGGAACUGGAGAAAUAUAUGGAGAUUAGAUAGUAGCUCGGCAAUGUUUCAUGAUCACCUCUAGGAUGAAACAACCCUCGAAAAGUGUGCCAGUUGAUGUGCCAGAUCUAAUGGAUGAGGUUAGAAAAUUGAGGUGAGCC
rnacentral:lncRNA from 1 species